GCACCAAGGCACCAAGGCACCAUGGCUACGUGGCGCCAUGGCACCAAGGUACCAAGGCACCAAGGCACCUUGGCGCCAUGGCACCAAGGCACCAAGGCACCGUGGCUCCAUGGCACCGUGGUUCCAUGGCACCAAGGAACCAAGGCACCAUGGUGCCAUGGCACCAAGGAACAAAGGCACCAUGGAGCCAUGUCACCUAGGCAACUUGGCGCCAUGGCACCAAGGCGGCGCGGCGCCAUGGCACCAUGGCAUCGUGUCACACAGGCACCAUGGCACCAUGGCAGCUUGGUACACAGGCACCAAGGCACCGUGGCACCAUGGCACCAUGGCACCAAGGCACCAUGACGCCAUGGCACCAAGGCACCAUGGCGCCAUGGCACCUAGGCACCUUGGCGCCAUGGCACCAAGGCGGCGCGGCGCCAUGGCACCAUGGCACCGUGUCACACAGGCACCAUGGCACCAAGGCAUCUAGGCACACAGGCACCGUGGCACUAUAGCACUGUGGUACCAGCUCGUGGAAUGUCGUCUCCUCGAUUGUGGCAGGCAGCACGCGCCUCCAGCGUGCUUCAGCAUCUACGCGCUCCGGACGCUGGACUGUGGGCUCCCCAUUUGACCCAUCUUAAAACUCGGACCAAGGAGUCUGACAUGUGUGCGAGUCAAUGGGCGAGUAAACCCGUAAGUCGCAAGGAAGCUGAUUGGUAGAAUCCCCCCGAGGGGUGCACCACCGACCGACCUUGAUCUUCUGAGAAGGGUUCGAGUGUGAGCAAACCUGCCGGGACCCGAAAGAUGGUGAACUAUGCCUGAGCAGGGCGAAGCCAGAGGAAACUCUGGUGGAGGCCCUCAGUGAUAAUGACGUGCAAAUCAUUCGUCUGACUUGGGUAUAGGGGCGAAAGACUAAUCGAACCGUCUAGUAGCUGGUUCCCUUCGAAGUUUCCCUCAGGAUAGCUGGAGCUCACGUGCGAGUUCUAUCGGGUAAAGCCAAUGAUCAGAGGCCUCGGGAACGCAAUGCCCUCAAACUAUUCUCAAACUAUAAAUAGGUAGAACGGCGCGACUGCUUCGUUGAGCCGCGCCACGGAAUCAAGAGCUCCGAGUGGGCCAUUUUUGGUAAGCAGAAUUUGCGAUGCGGGAUGAACCAGAAGUCGUGUUACGGUGCCAAAAUGCACGCUAACCUAGAUCCCACAAAGGGUGUUGGUCGAUUAAGACAGCAGGACGGUGGUCAUGGAAGUCGAAAUCCGCUGAGGAGUGUGUAACAACUCACCUGCCGAAUCAACUACCCUCAAAAAUAGAUGGCUCUUAAGAGCGCGACCAACACCCAGCCGUCGGGGCAAGUGCCAGGCCCCGAUGAGUAGGAGGGCUUGGCGUUCGCUGAAAAACCUAGGGCGCGAGCCCGGGCGGAGCGGCAGUCGGUGCCGAUUUUAGUGGUAGUAGCAAAUAUUCAAAUGAGAACUUUAAAGGCCGAAGAGGGGAAAGGUUCCUUGUGAACGGCAUUUGCACAUGGGUUAGUCGAUCUUAAGGGUCAGGGAAACCCCGACAGAUAGCGCGUUUCGCGCGAGCUUCGAAAGUGAAUUGGGUUAAAAUUCUUGAACCGGGACGUGGCGGUCAAUGGCAACGUUAGGAAGUCCGGAGACAUCGGCGGGAGCCUCAGGAAGAGUUAUCUUUUCGGUAUAAUAGCCUGCCCCCCUGGAAUCGGCUCUGCCGGAGGUAUGGUCCAGUAGCUGGAAGAGCACCGCACGUCGCGUGGUGUCCGGUAUGCUCCCGGCGGCCCUUGAAAAUCUGGAGGACCGAAUGCCGUCCACACCCAGUCGUACUCAUAAACGCAUCAGGUCUCCAAGGUGAACAACCUCUGGUCGAUGGAAUAAUGUAGGCAAGGGAAGUCGGCAAAAUGGAUCCGUAAGUUUGGGAAAAGGAUUGGCUCUGAGGGCUAGGCACGGGGGUCCCAGUCCCGAACCCGUCGUCUAUCGGUGGACUUCUCGAGCUGCUCCCGCGGUGAGAGAGGGUCGCCGCGUGCCGGCCGGGGGACGGACUGGGAACGGUUCCUUCAGGGGCCUUCCCCGCGCGUCGAACAGUCAACUUAGAACUUGUAUGGACAAGGGGAAUCCGACUGUUUAAUUAAAACAAAGCAAUGCAUCGGGGGGACCUGUGCUUCUUCUGUAAACGAAAAUGACUAUCGACAAUGGAUAUCUCGGCUCUCGCAUUGAUGAAGAACAUUGCGAAAUGCGAUAGUUGGUGUGAAUUGCAGAAUCUCGUGAACCAUUGAGUCUUUGAACGCAAGUUGAUCCUGAAGCCAUUAGGCCGAGGACACGUCUGUCUGGGCAUCACGCAUAGCGUCUCCCCCUCGUAUCGUGCCUCAAUCACGGGGCGCACUGUCAUCGCGGGCCGGAUACUGGCCUCCCGUGCGCCUCGAGCUCACAGCUAGCCUAAAUGUGAGUCCACGUUGACAGACGUCGCAGCAAGUGGUGGUUGCAACUCAACUCUCUUUCCCGUCGUGGCUACGGCCUAUUGCGCAUCCGGACUCCAGGACCCCUUCGCACUCAGGCGCUCCGACCACGACCCUAGGUCAGGCGGGAUUACCCAUUGAGUUUAAGCAUAUCAAUAAGCAGAGGAAAAGAAACUUACAAGGAUUUAUUUAGUAACGACGAGCGAAUCGAGAACAGCCCUGCCUUAGAAUACGGCGGCUCCGUCGUCCGAAUUAUAGUCUGGAGAAGCAUCCUCAGCGGCGGACCGGGCCCAAGUCCCCUAGAAGGAGGCGCCGAAGAGGGUGAGAGCCCCGUCAUGCCCGGACCCUGUCGCACCAUGAGGCGCUGUCUACGAGUCGGGUUGU
rnacentral:rRNA from 1 species